GACGAACGCUGGCGGCGUGCUUAACACAUGCAAGUCGAACGGAAAGGCCCUGCUUUUGUGGGGUGCUCGAGUGGCGAACGGGUGAGUAACACGUGAGUAACCUGCCCUUGACUUUGGGAUAACUUCAGGAAACUGGGGCUAAUACCGGAUAGGAGCUCCUGCUGCAUGGUGGGGGUUGGAAAGUUUCGGCGGUUGGGGAUGGACUCGAGGCUUAUCAGCUUGUUGGUGGGGUAGUGGCUUACCAAGGCUUUGACGGGUAGCCGGCCUGGGAGGGUGAACGGCCUCCAGGCGACUGCGAUACGCAGCAGUCUCCAACGUGACGCAGUAGUGGGGAACAUUGCGCAGUGGGCGGACGCCUGUGGCGGAAGCGCCGCGUGCGGGAUGCCGUCUUACGGGUUGUAAACCGCUUUCUCCUUUGACGAAGCGUGAUUGACGGUAAUUGGUAAAGAAGCACCGGCUAACUACGUG
rnacentral:rRNA from 1 species